ensembl:snRNA U6 U6 spliceosomal RNA
GUGCUUAUUUCAGGAGCACAUACACUAAAACUGAACAUACAGACAAGAUGAGCAUGGCGCCCGUGCAAGGAUGAGGUACAAAUUCCUGAAGUGUUUCAUAUUUUU